UUUAAAUUCGGCAACUCGGCAGAGAGAGCAAACCGGAAGUGGGGUGUGCCUAUGUAAUCUUCGUCCAGCAGGGCUGGGCUCCCUAAGCCUCCCCAAACAAGCAGAGAACCUCCUGUGCAAACACCCCAGCCUGUGGGGAACAUUUCUCAUUCAAACCACCACACCUAGCUAACCACAGGGGAUUAUUUUUAGAGCUGGUCUUGAGUUAUAGAAGAGUGCCUGAAAUCUUUCUGAAAAAAAGGUCUGUCUGGCUCUGGCUUCGGACAGCUGAGGGUCCUAGUAUGGUUCGUGUAUUGAGAGUCCUCCUGAAAGUUUGUGUGUUGAAAGCUUGCUCACGUCUAACUUCACCGAGGGCUUACACCAGAGGUUAGCCUCUCUGUGCCAGCACAUCUGAAUGCCAUGAUAUUGCACCUUGCCUCAGGAGGAGGUGAAAGCGGAGGAGACAGCUGAUCUUAGAACCAUGAAGACAUGAGCCAAGCAGAUGUUAUGGUUGACUUAGUGUGUCCCGGCAACAGUGAAAUGACACAGUAGGUUGCUCCAGAGAACUUCAGAGAGAAAUGUGGAGCAGAGUAAGGUAAAGAACAUGUAUCUGUUUCCUACUGCUUACAUAACAAACCACCCCCAAAUGUAGUACCUCGAGACCACAGCCCUUUAUUUGUUCACUGUUAUGUAAGCUGGGCUGAGCUGAUAGGUUCUUCUCACCCGAGGUUAUCUGUGUGGCUGAAAUCAGCUGCCAGGUCGGGUGAGGCUGUUGUUCCAGGGGUCUCAGCCGGAAUGGCCGAUCACAUUUCCCCCUUUUCAUGGGGCAACAGAAGAGUGCUCCAUGGCCAGAUAGGCCACCCCACCCCCGUCUGUCUGUCUGUCUGUCUGUCUGUUCAUGUUACGGAAGCUGAGCAUCAGUGCGAGCCUGGAUUGCUCAAAGGCACCAGUAUAGGAAAGCAUGUUCCUAGGGGGCGGCCCUUGGUGGGUGAAUCCUCAACAGUUUUUCUGAGACACUUUAGGCAAUGUCUUAGCUAAGACUACGAAAGGUAAAGUUUAGAGAUAAGCUGGAAGUUUGGUUUUAGAAUUCAGGUUCAGGAACUUUGAAAUCUGUGUUACUUUUGUUAGUAUGAUCCCAUGUAUACACAUAAGCAAAUAAGACCUAGGGAAACUCACACUGGUUGGCUUUGAACAGCUCUCUCGGUCCCUAGGGUUUAGUCUCUCCCGAUUGUAAAACUCCUCGCCAAGGUUAUUUGUGGUAAGGGUCGUGUGAGCUCAGGGUCUUCUGUGAGAACAGUGGAAGCCUCACACAGGUGUGGAUGCUCUUCCUGUCAUGGCCAGGAUCCACUGUUUCAGGAGACAUUAAGCCUGGUGCACAGAAAGACGUAUGAUACUCAGUGAGAAGUCUGAGGCCCAGCUGUGUAAAUCACCUUAAAAAUUCAUGAGAGGACUUUUUUUUUUUCAUUCCAUAUGCGUUAAAUUUGUCUCUGUCACUUUCUCUCCCUAAGAUCAAUAAAAAGGAAACUGAUUUUAUUUCAAAAAACCAAUUAUUUCUGCUUUCGCUUUUGUGCUCAAGCCUAAAUGGCUCCUUCUUUUCCAACACAGCAUGUUUUCUUCUGCCUCUAAUGGUGUCAAUCCAACUCACCAGACAGCUCCAGGAAGUGCUUGAUGGAUCACAGCCCAAGCUGCUCCCUGUUCCCCAUCCAUCAAGUGUUACCAAGUCCUUUUUAUGUCUGGGUGGGUGCUAGGACCUGGUGACAAAGAAAAAGAUGGUUUUUAUCCUCCAGGAGCUCACAGACCAGCAGCAAGACAGAUGUAGAAACAGGAAACAGUGCCAUGCUUGUGCACUUUGAAAGGAGCAGAUGUGUCUAUUCAGCAAAUAUUUAACGAUCGCUUGUUCUGUGCAUGCCUCAAGUUAGUGUGAAAUACAAAGAGGGUUAAGAGACCUCUUCUGUUUUUAUGGUGUGACUGGUCGAGGAGAGAGACAAGUCAACAGUCACAAUUCAGACAGAACCUCGGGAGUCAGCACCAGUGUUGCGUGGGAGCAGAGAGAACAGAACCUGCCAGGUAGAAGUGGUUGGGGAAGAUUUCCCACAGUUUCGUAUAAACCAAGAAAAAGGCAGGGGGAGAUUCCAGGGGGAGAGAUAUAGCCAGGUUGAGUGGCCUGGGAAAGUAGGACACUUGAGAGAAAGCAGUGCAGCCUGCCUGGCCCACAGAGUGAGAAGGGGCCAGGAGAGGGAAAUCUGGAGAGCUGGGCAGAGGCCAGAGCCCAGGAGGAAGAUAGAUAGUUUCAUUGGAUCUUUGUUUUAGAAAGAUCAUUGCAGAAGUGGGUCAAAUGCCCCCUAGGGGCUGCCUCAGGGAACAAUGGCACUUGUAAACUAAAUUUUUGUUUAAUUCAUAUUUAUUUUCUUUCGUAUGUGUAUGUGUACCUGAGUGUAUGUGUAUGCACAUGUGUGUGCACGAACCCACAGACAUCAGAGGAGGUCACGGAACUGAAGUCACAGAUGGUUGUGAGUCACCUGUCAAAUAGCUCUGCAGAAGAAGACUGCGAAGAUUUAAGACCCCAAGCCAAGGCGAGGGGGUGGGCUUCAGGAGACAUGGAGCCUGUCCACACAUCAUCCACAGACUGAACACCCAGCCUGUCGCACUUUGUUCUGACCACCGUACCAAAGCCAUCAAAGCGGAAGAGUCAGGAGAUGGGUGGACGCAGGGAUGUACGGAGCAAGGGAAGAGGGAGGAAAACGUGACGCUCAAGUUCCUGACUUGUGCAGCCCCAUGCUGAGCCUCAAAGGACGAUACCACCCAAAUACGGUGUUUGGAGACACAGGAAGCAUUUGGCCUAGAGGAAAAGCUUGCUGCUGUCCACCCAUGACUGAGUGGAAGCUCUGGAAUUUCCCAUCUCUGUUAAGAGAGCGCUGCCUUCCACCCUACGGUGAAGCCCCGGCAAGUCAGUGAGACUGAAAGGAUAAUGUCUCUCCUUGUGCACCUUCAAAUUCCACAGAGGCCUCUUGGAAACCUCCUAAUAAGCGCCUGUGAGCCUCUGAAACUGUCCUUAGAGCAAACAGGGCACCAUGGUUUUUAAUAAUGUCAAGUGGGGGACUGUAUCACUCCUGCGACUCUCCCUGUGCAUGCAUGCCUUUCUCCUUCUGGUUGUGAAUCAAUUGUGUGCCUUUUCUUUUUAAUGGUCAUCAGCUUAUUCCCUUGGCCUUGACAAUAGCACACAGGGCUGCUGUGUUCCGAGAGGUGUAACAAGGCAGACUGGCGAGGCUGCAGACGUAGAUGAUGCUGUCUGCUUGUGGCGUCUCUGAGGGAGAGCGCAGUGGAGAUGAGCAGCUGGCUGUGUGGGGUCGGAGCUCAAGGGGCAUGAGCCCAGGAUGUGGUGUUGGGGAUUCCAGAUACAGGGCAGCUGAAGCAGAGCAGUGGUUGAGGCCACUCUAGGGGCAUCGUGCUGUGUAAAGAGUGGGCAGAGGACUUAAUCCCAGAGAAGCCCAUUGCUUACGAGAGAGUGAAGGAAAAUGACGGGGCAUUAGCAGAGAGUCGUGGAGAACAGUGUCAUGUCCCUCAAGUGCUGAAGAGGGAUCAAAGCUUCUGGCAUUCUGUCUGUCUCUCUGUGUCUACACACACACACACACACACACACACACACACACACACACACACACGCACGCACGCACCAAUGCCCUUUCCCAUUUCUUCAUUGCGUUUACUGUUCCAGUUUCACAGCCAGAGCUGGAGUGAUAUCAGUUUACUUCUCCAGAAAUGGCAGAAUCUUCCCCCUGGUGACUUGCUCUCUCAGAGGGCUGUCUACUGGGUUGUCCUGCUUCCUUCCAGGGCCUUCCUUAGACCUUCCCUUGGUGACAGCCUGUGGCUGCUGAAGGAGUGUUGGGGGCGGGGCCCCUCUUCUUAGGGCUCUGUGCCUGAGUCAGAAUGUAUAGAUCUAGGGAAGCUAUGGCCUCCAGUGACCUCAGCUUCCCAGUCCCUACAAGUCCCAUCUUCACGGGCACUUUGGAUUCCAGGGCAUUGCUCUUAGCUUUUUUUAGGGAGAGAGAAAGCACCGAACCCUCUCCUGAACCCACUAACCCUGGAAGAGAUGCAUUAGAGAAAGGCAGAGUGUUCAUCUUGAAACUAUCCAGGAAAUUGACCUGCCUGUCCUUGACUGCAACGAUCAGUUCCCAGGGAAACAGUCUCUCGUCUGAAGUCGUCUCUUCUUGCCACUCAGUCCUUCCUCCUCAGCUCUACUCCUUGGUGAUUCCAAAAGCCCCUGGUCCAAUCUGGAAUGACCACAGAAGGCCUGAGGCACCUCUCCUCCUCUCCUAUAAAGUCACUUUGCCAUCGAGGACUUUCCCCUUCCAAGAGUAGAGGAGACAAUAUGUAGGAAGCAAGCUUUCUUCCUUUGGAAGCAUCCUAGGCUGUAAUACCAGUGCUUAGGAGCUAAGGCAAGAGGAUUAACAGAAGUAUGAGCCAGCCUGGGCUACAUAGAGAGCUUAGUGAGUUUGAAGCCAGUCAGCCAGGACUAGUGUGAGAUUCAUCUCAGAGACCGGAGAGACCCAGAGACAGAGACAGAGAGACUGAUCUGCCUUGCAGUUAAAAAUCGGAAUGCUAAUCCAUUCACUUUGAACAAUUUUCCCUGCAAUGUAUCCUCAACAUCUCUGGAACCUCAAAACAGCAACAAGAAAUGGGGGUUUGGGGUGGGAGGACAGCAAGGAGGUCCUUUUCACUUUCACUGAAAGAAAACCAGAAGAGAUUUGCUCAUAUGCUGGACUUUGUCAGAGAUCUUCAGUAACAUAAUAGGGUUCUUGUCUCUUCAGCUAGCCUCUCUGUGGUGCCCCAGCAUGAAUCAGAUGUG